GCCCUGGGUGCCAUGGGAACACUGAAGAGAGACUGACAUGGAUGCUGCCGCCCUCGGGUACCUCCCAGGCUGCUGGAGGAGACAAGCCACGGACACAGCCACUAGCACCACCUACAAAGUAAGGAGUGCCUGCGGACUAGAUCGUGACACUACACCCUGCCACCAGCAGCCUGGCAGCCUCUUCCAGUGACAUCUUGGACCGUAAGUGGAUCAAGACGCAGCCUUGUCAGCCCCCACAUCUCAGGAUGCUCCAGGAAGUUGCUGUGUUUAACGUGGCGGCCUACAGAGGAGGAGGCUGUACCUCAUGGUCCAGGGAGAUGGUGCUCUCAAAAGUUCCAGAAAAGGGAUGGAACAAAUUUGGAGCACCUACUUUGGGCCAGGACUCAUUUAAGCUUCAAGAAACCUAGGAAGGAGGCAACUUCCCGCCAUUUUAUAGGUGGAGAGACUGAGGGUGAAUAUUGAAUUGAUUCACUUUUGCCACAUAACAAAGCACUCCCAGAGUGUCCUAAGAUCUCCAUUUCUUUCGCUCCCAAUGCUAUAGGUAAGCAGUUUGGGCUGGACGCAGAUGGACGCCCUUCUGAUGAUCUCAGCGAGACAAUGCCCACUCAUGGUCAGCUAGGAAUCAAGUGGAGGCUGACUGGUCUCACCCACCUGUCUGGUAGUUGAUGGCUACGGGCAACACGAAUGGCUGAGCCAUGUGCUCUCAUGAACCCAGCUUCCCAGGGCAGCAAGAGAGCCAGCCCCAAUGUGUGAACACUUUUUAAAGCCUUUGGUGGCUUGUUUGCUAAUGUCCCAGGAGCCACGUAAGACAUAAGGCCAGUGCAGAGCCAGUGUGGGAGGGGACUAUCCAAGGGGCAGAUAGAGGAAGUUAAACAAAUUAUGGCCGUUUUUGUAAUCUACGACAAGAACUCCGUUCAAGGAACACACUAAAUGCAUGGCAGACCUUCCUCUUUGAUCUUCUGAGCUGACAGGCAUGUGGUGAGCACAGCCUCAUGUGUCCCUAAUGUGUUCCAGACACACUUAGCACUUCCCACACAGCCAUGUAAACUGCCCGGUCCUCACUGAACUUUCUACUCCGACUGAUCUUGAGAGGCACAUGUCUCAGGAUUUAAAUAAAAAUGAAC
rnacentral:lncRNA from 1 species